rnacentral:rRNA from 1 species
UCGUGGUGUCAGCGGCGGACGGGUGAGUAACGCGUGGGAACGUGCCCUCUGGUUCGGAAUAACUCAGGGAAACUUGAGCUAAUACCGGAUACGCCCUUUUGGGGAAAGGCUUGCUGCCGGAGGAUCGGCCCGCGUCUGAUUAGCUAGUUGGUGAGGUAACGGCUCACCAAGGCGACGAUCAGUAGCUGGUCUGAGAGGAUGAUCAGCCACACUGGGACUGAGACACGGCCCAGACUCCUACGGGAGGCAGCAGUGGGGAAUAUUGGACAAUGGGCGCAAGCCUGAUCCAGCCAUGCCGCGUGAGUGAUGAAGGCCUUAGGGUUGUAAAGCUCUUUUAUCCGGGACGAUAAUGACGGUACCGGAGGAAUAAGCCCCGGCUAACUUCGUGCCAGCAGCCGCGGUAAUACGAAGGGGGCUAGCGUUGCUCGGAAUCACUGGGCGUAAAGGGCGCGUAGGCGGCGUUUUAAGUCGGGGGUGAAAGCCUGUGGCUCAACCACAGAAUGGCCUUCGAUACUGGGACGCUUGAGUAUGGUAGAGGUU